UACCCAAACCUAACCCUAAAUUACUAAACAACUUCCACUCUUCCUCAUCAACCACAGCCCCUUCUUUUCAAAACUCACACCAUACACAAAUACACCCACGCAGAAAAAAAAAAGAGAACGGUAGAAGGGGCUGCAGCCUCCAUGCCUCGCCGCCGAAGUCCUGCUGCUGCCAAGUCACCAUCGAAGUCAACCCUAGAGAAAGAGGGAGUCUGCGAGUUGAAGGAAGCUGGAGGAGUGUCGCUGCCAUUAGCGUUUUGCGGUGCCACCAUCAUGGUCGCCGAGAAGGAGGAGGACCCGCGAGAAAGAGAGAGACGCGGUCAGUCUCAUCAUCAUCAGAUCCGUCUUUGCCGAUGGAGACCCCGUCGCCAAGCUGCUGCGCCACCGCUGCCACCGUUGGGUUUCCGGGAAGAGAAAUUUGAACGGGAGAGAGAGAACGAGAGAGAGAGCUCGCAGAAAGAGAAACAUCACCAUACACGAACAGAGGGGGGAGGAGACUCGUCGCCGUGCCUCUAGUCGCCAGGAACGGCGGUACCGUCGUCGGAAAACACGCCGGAGCUUCCAAACUCACCAGCAACACUACCUUGUCACUGUUCUGAAUUUUAUCUGCCUUUGUCUCUGUAUUCGAUUUGAAAUGACUACCUGGUGGUGUGGUCAUUGUGGCUGUCGUGAGACGCACUCUGGGUUUGGUCUCUUCGGUCCGUUAGGACCAUGCUGAUCAAAUAUUUGACUAUGUGAGACUUUCUAUUCAAGAGUAACGGUGUGCAAUGAGUACCUAUUCUUUGUCAAAUUCCUAGAUGUUUAUGCUCCAUAUGUCACAGGCAGGAUUCAACCAUUUUUAGUUAUUUUAAUUUUUGUUAAAAAUAUAUAACUAUUUAUUUUAGAGCUUGUAAAAUAUUUGUAACUUGCUUAUUCAACUUAUAUUUGAGUAUGUUAGACUUGCUAUA